rnacentral:rRNA from 1 species
CCUACGGGGGGCAGCAGUGGGGAAUAUUGGACAAUGGGCGAAAGCCUGAUCCAGCCAUGCCGCGUGUGUGAAGAAGGCCUUCGGGUUGUAAAGCACUUUCAGUGGGGAAGAAAGCCUUGGGGCUAAUACCCUCGAGGAAGGACAUCACCCACAGAAGAAGCACCGGCUAACUCCGUGCCAGCAGCCGCGGUAAUACGGAGGGUGCGAGCGUUAAUCGGAAUUACUGGGCGUAAAGCGCGCGUAGGCGGUCUGAUAAGCCGGUUGUGAAAGCCCCGGGCUCAACCUGGGAACGGCAUCCGGAACUGUCAGGCUAGAGUGCAGGAGAGGAAGGGAGAAUUCCCGGUGUAGCGGUGAAAUGCGUAGAGAUCGGGAGGAAUACCAGGGGCGAAGGCGGCCUUCUGGACUGACACUGACGCUGAGGUGCGAAAGCGUGGGUAGCAAACAGGAUUAGAUACCCUUGUAGUC